GUUGACUGUCAGAAGUUAUAUCGAUUUAGAUUCGCAAAAUCUACAUCAGAAAAAUUGGCUGGCUUGUCUAUUAUAAAUGGAUUUCGAACCCAGCCAUUAUUGUUUUCAUUCAAGAAUGGAAACUACUGAUCAAUAUAUGUGAUUAAAUGGCGAAGAUGAUCUACAAUUUUGUUGCGAAUUUUAUCUUCAAGUUCAAUUUCUGACUCUUCAAGAAAAUCCUUAAGUGUUGGCAAAGAGUUCAAAUUAUUUUGCCCAACAUAU